UUACGGCCAUAUCACGUUAAAACCUCGGUUCCCGUUAGAUCACCGAAGCUAAGCAACGUCAAGCCUGGUCAUUAUCUGUAUGAGUGUCCGGUUGGGAAUAUCAGUUGCCGUAA